UACAGAGGUCUCAAGCGUUGUUCGGAUUCAUUGGGCGUAAAGGGCGCGUAGGCGGUCUGUUGCGUCCGCUGUGAAAACCCGGGGCUUAACCCCUGGCUUGCAGUGGAUACGGGCAGACUGGAGUUCGGCAGGGGAGACUGGAAUUCCUGGUGUAGCGGUGAAAUGCGCAGAUAUCAAGGAGGAACACCGGUGGCGAAGGCGGGUCUCUGGGCCGAUACUGACACUGGAGGAGCGAAAGCGUGGGGAGCGAACAGG
rnacentral:rRNA from 1 species